AACACUCAUGCUUUAUCUAGCGGUGUUAGGGCACUAAGAAUUUUGAUUUCUUAAGAGAGGUUCAAUACCUCCUGAUAAG
rnacentral:tRNA from 1 species